rnacentral:tRNA from 1 species
ACUCUAAUAGCUUAUUUUAGAGCAUAAUAUUGAAGAUAUUAAGGAGGGGGUUUCCUUAGGGUA